AAGCACCUAAAAGCGUUUUCUUGAUAGCUUUUUAAACGCUCCUGAAAAUCGUAGCUGUGUGCUAGAAUAAAUGCUGCGGUUGCAAAUGAAUUGAUGCCAAUUAUUGCAUUAUUUCUAUUUACACCACGCACAAUCGUAU
rnacentral:snoRNA from 1 species